GGGACGGUGGUGUAGCCUGGCAGCAUAACUCCCUGUCACGGAGUAGGUCGCGGGUUCAAAUCCCGUCCGUCCCGCCU
rnacentral:tRNA from 1 species